GACAGUGCCUCCACAACACCCGCGCUCAAUAAGCCUCUGCCUCCAGGAAGCCCUUCGGGAGCGGGCCGCCUGCGCGGCGCCGGCUCAGACCAGGCCGGUAGUCAGCCACAUGCGUCCCGCACCCUCGCACGGGCCGCAGUCGCCCAACAGGCCCUUGGGCGUGAAGGCGUGGAGUUAGCUUUUCCCGCCCCACCCAGGGCACAGCCUCGGGCUAAGGCGCCCGCGAGGUUCCGGAGGGAACCAGGGAGGCCCGGCCCCUCCAGCCGGGGCCUCGCUCAAGUUCUUCUUGGCCGCCUCCAGCUCGCUCACAAAGGUCGCCAUUGCUCCCCACGUCUCAGCCCGACCUCAGACCCCUCGGCCACAACGACCAGCAACCGAAAAACCAACUCCGCGAAGGCUUCGGCUCUGGAGGCUCCGUCUUCUCCCGCCUGCCCCGCCCCCAAGCUCUGAGAAGACGUUUGUUUGGUUUUCGGCUCCGCCCGCCUUUCUGGAGAGAAAGUGCUGAGCCAAACUCGGUGUUUUUGUGGUCCUCCUGCUCCCGCCCCCUCACAUCACGUGAUCCGCUUCACCUAGCGCUCCCGCGCCCCACCUAAACCCGCCGCGCCCGGCCCGGGCUGCAGCGUCACCUGCAGGGCUGGCGUAUCCCGGGCUCUCAGUCUUACCGCUGCGGAAGUUCCGAAUUCGGUCCUUUACCUGGAUGAAUAUCUUCCCCCUCCAGGUCAAAAAAGACUCCUUCAGGCUUCUGCACUCCUUCAGCAAAUAUAUAGUGAAUUCCUAUUAUGCGCCUGGCAAUCUUUUGGGUCCUGGGGAUACAAAGAUGAACAAGUCAGCCUGUGCUAUUCUAUGACGCAGACGGUGUUCUUAUGCUCAUUCAAAAACGGGGAAACCAAGCCUCAGAAAGACUCCAUGACUUGCCUAAAUCCACAGAGCUGGAAAAUAGCAAAGAUGGGAUUUGAACCCAAGAAGUCUUACUCUGGGAACUGGACAUUUCACCCCUGUGCUGGGGUAGAAGGGUGAGAGAAGUCUGUGAUGAUCUCCUAGGACUCAGGUUAACUAACUGGGAUUAGUGACUCCAUCAACACAGGUAGGAAAACUAGGUCAAAGGGCAGGCCUUUUGUUUUUGGGGUGGCAUGGCUAGUGUAAGUUACCGUUACUCCUAUGUUAAAACUCCCAGUUUAUCUCUAAGGGUAAUGUAAAGAUUGCUUCUUUUCUGUUUUCCUGCCUUCUUUAUUCUGCCUUUGUAGCAACUCUUAACUCUGAUUUUUAGACUGCAAUACACCAAACUCUUCCUAAAGAAAUAUAAAAGGAUAGGUGGAACACACCCAAAGAAGAUUCAAAAUCAGACAUGAAGCACUGAUAGCUUCAUAGCUUUGU